AUGCACGCUGGCGGCGUGCCUAAUACAUGCAAGUCGAGCGAACGGACGAGAAGCUUGCUUCUCUGAUGUUAGCGGCGGACGGGUGAGUAACACGUGGAUAACCUACCUAUAAGACUGGGAUAACUUCGGGAAACCGGAGCUAAUACCGGAUGAUAUUUUGAACCGCAUGGUUCAAAAGUGAAAGACGGUCUUGCUGUCACUUAUAGAUGGAUCCGCGCUGCAUUAGCUAGUUGGUAAGGUAACGGCUUACCAAGGCAACGAUGCAUAGCCGACCUGAGAGGGUGAUCGGCCACACUGGAACUGAGACACGGUCCAGACUCCUACGGGAGGCAGCAGUAGGGAAUCUUCCGCAAUGGGCGAAGGCCUGACGGAGCAACGCCGCGUGAGUGAUGAAGGUCUUCGGAUCGUAAAACUCUGUUAUUAGGGAAGAACAUAUGUGUAAGUAACUGUGCACAUCUUGACGGUACCUAAUCAGAAAGCCACGGCUAACUACGUG
rnacentral:rRNA from 1 species